GAUGAACGCUGGCGGCGUGCCUAAUACAUGCAAGUCGAGCGAACAGAUGAGGAGCUUGCUCCUCUGACGUUAGCGGCGGACGGGUGAGUAACACGUGGAUAACCUACCUAUAAGGCUGGGAUAACUUCGGGAAACCGGAGCUAAUACCGGAUAAUAUAUUGAAUCGCAUGGUUCAAUAGUGAAAGACGGUUUUGCUGUCACUUAUAGAUGGAUCCGCGCCGCAUUAGCUAGUUGGUAAGGUAACGGCUUACCAAGGCAACGAUGCGUAGCCGACCUGAGAGGGUGAUCGGCCACACUGGAACUGAGACACGGUCCAGACUCCUACGGGAGGCAGCAGUAGGGAAUCUUCCGCAAUGGGCGAAAGCCUGACGGAGCAACGCCGCGUGAGUGAUGAAGGUCUUCGGAUCGUAAAACUCUGUUAUUAGGGAAGAACAAAUGUGUAAGUAACUAUGCACGUCUUGACGGUACCUAAUCAGAAAGCCACGGCUAACUACGUG
rnacentral:rRNA from 1 species